rnacentral:tRNA from 1 species
GAGCCGAUAACUCAGUGGCAGAGAAUCCUACUCUUUCUAGGAAGACGGAGCGUUCGAUUCCUCCUCGGCUCA